CGUUGUGUCAGUCAACAUCUGGACGAGAAUUGAAGGGAACACAACACAGACCAGUGACAAUGCUGUGCAUGAUGAUGAAGAUGGAGAUGAAGCUACGGUG